rnacentral:rRNA from 1 species
GACGAACCAUCCAACCGUUAUUCGGAAUUACUGGGCUUAAAGGGUGCGUAGGCUGCGCAGUAAGUUGGGUGUGAAAUCCCUCGGCUUAACCGAGGAACUGCGCCCAAAACUACUGUGCUUGAGGGAGACAGAGGUGAGCGGAACUUAGGGUGGAGCGGUGAAAUGCGUUGAUAUCCUAAGGAACACCCGUGGCGAAAGCACUCUGCUGGGCCGACACUGACACUGAGAGACGAAAGCUAGGGGAGCGAACAGG